rnacentral:rRNA from 1 species
GAGUGACAGCUACUGAAUCAUAAUUGUGUCAAAUAUAUGAUGUCGUAAGGGAAAAUAAUGAUAUUACCUUACUAAUAGUGUCGUCAAAAACUGGUGCCAGAAGACUCGGUAAGGCCAGAGACGCGAACGUUAAUCGUCUUAAUCAGGCGUAAAGGGUUUGUAGGCUGCUUUGAAAAUAUUCAUUUAAUAUAGCGAAAGUAAAUGAAUAUCAAUUAAAGCUAGAAUCUAAUAGAGGAUAUUUACGAAAUAAUGCUUGAUAGAGGGCUGAGAUCCGAAGACAUCAAGUGGAGUUCUAAUGGCGUAGGCAUUUAUCCAUUAAAGAUUGACGCUGAGAAACGAAGGUGAGGGUAGGAAAUAGGAUUAGAGACCCAGAUACUCCUCUCUGUCAACGAUGAAUGGUAGUUUGUUAGUCUCUUAAGACUAGUGACGAAGUUAACACGAUAACCAUUCCGCCUUGUGAGUACGACUGCAAAGUUGAAAACAAAAAAAUUAGUCGGUCUCGGAGCAAACGAAGUGAAGUAUGUUAUUUUAAAAAAACCCCC